rnacentral:ncRNA from 2 species
AGAGUUAAACAGUACGUGAAAUUGUUAAAAGGGAAACGAAUGAGACCAGUAAUCCGGGCAGUUAAUCAGCCACUGGGGCGUAAUUCGCAGGGUCAGUAGAGCGCAAGCCUGCUGAUUUUGUGUUGUUGCGUCAUUUUGGUGCACUUUGCUGUUUGGGAAUCAACAUCAGUUUGAAUUGAUGGAAAAGGGGUACUAGGAGGUAGCCAUUUCGGUGGUGUUUAACUAGUAUUCGUAUACAUUGAAUUAGACUGAGGACUGCAGGGUGCCCUUUAAUUAGGGAAGGGCUCACUUGGCGCUGCUGAAUUCAAAGCUUUAGGCCAACUUGUUGACUGAGGCUUUGCUGUUUGGCAACUCGUCGGGUUCUGCUACAUACACCCUUAGGAUGUUGAUGAAAUGGUCUUAUCCGACC